ACGCACGCUGGCGGCGUGCUUCACACAUGCCAGUCGAACGGAAAGGCCCUGCUUUUGUGGGGUGCUCGAGUGGCGAACGGGUGAGUAACACGUGAGUAACCUGCCCUUGACUUUGGGAUAACUUCAGGAAACUGGGGCUAAUACCGGAUAGGAGCUCCUGCUGCAUGGUGGGGGUUGGAAAGUUUCGGCGGUUGGGGAUGGACUCGCGGCUUAUCAGCUUGUUGGUGGGGUAGUGGCUUACCAAGGCUUUGACGGGUAGCCGGCCUGAGAGGGUGACCGGCCACAUUGGGACUGAGAUACGGCCCAGACUCCUACGGGAGGCAGCAGUGGGGAAUAUUGCACAAUGGACGGAAGCCUGAUGCAGCAACGCCGCGUGCGGGAUGACGGCCUUCGGGUUGUAAACCGCUUUCGCCUGUGACGAAGCGUGAGUGGCGGUAAUGGGUAAAGAAGCACCGGCUAACUACGUG
rnacentral:rRNA from 1 species